ACUUCCGCUUUUAUUUUCGAUCAUAUUCUUUUAACAAGCAUCGCGGAAGCUUCCGUCGUACGUCUUUGUUGAAAAUAUUUUUGACACUCUUCUCAAGACAACGAGCAGCGACCUGAUGAAAGUCAUCCAGGAUCUGGCAGCGUUAUAUUCUGCUCUUCUGCUAUUAACUGGUGAAUCAGGGCAGCUGAAUUUUAAGGAUCGGGUGAUCAGCUAUAAAGCAGAAGGAAGAGUGCACAAACUAAAGUGGGUGUACGAUGGGACUGCUUGGGAUGUGGAGAGUGGAAUCACAGUCAAGGCAAAACAUUACCAUGGUAAACACGGAGCCAUUGAACACGCUGUCAAGGAACUGAUCGAUAAACUCAAAGCUAAUGGGAUAAUAACAAACUGAAGUCGAAUUUUAAAAUAACUCCAGACAGUGUUUCAACUUUAUUUCAUAACAUGUAAGUCGUGGUCUUCGUGGUUUCCUAACUAAGUCCCGUGAGUUAAGGUUUCUUGAUUAUUCAAGAGGAAUACUUUGAAUAAAACAGCAAGAGAGUCUAAAAUUCAA